rnacentral:rRNA from 1 species
GGNGAGCAACACGNGGGCAACCUGCCUGUAAGACGGGGAUAACUCCGGGAAACCGGGGCNAAUACCGGAUGAUNCUNCUCUGCACANGCAGGGAAGCCAAAAGANGGUANANGCCAUCGCCCACNGAUGGGCNCGCGGCGCAUUAGCUANUNGGUGAGGUAACGGCUCACCAAGGCGACGAUGCGUAGCCGACCUGAGAGGGUGAUCGGCCACACUGGGACUGAGACACGGCCCAGACUCCUACGGGAGGCAGCAGUAGGGAAUCUUCCACAAUGGACGAAAGNCUGAUGGAGCAACGCCGCGUGAGCGAUGAAGGCCUUCGGGUCGUAAAGCUCUGUUGUUAGGGAAGAACAAGUACCGGAGUAACUGCCGGUACCUUGACGGUACCUAACCAGAAAGCCACGGCUAACUACGUGCCAGCAGCCGCGGUAAUACGUAGGUGGCAAGCGUUGUCCGGAAUUAUUGGGCGUAAAGCGCGCGCAGGCGGUUCUUUAAGUCUGAUGUGAAAGCCCCCGGCUCAACCGGGGAGGGUCAUUGGAAACUGGAGGACUUGAGUGCAGAAGANGAAAGCGGAAUUCCACGUGUAGCGGUGAAAUGCGUAGAGAUGUGGAGGAACACCAGUGGCGAAGGCGGCUUUCUGGUCUGUAACUGACGCUGANGCGCGAAAGCGUGGGGAGCAAACAGGAUUANAUACCCUGGUAGUCCACGCC